CUCUAAGGCUAAGAUGAUAUUUUUCAUGGAAAAUUCUCGUACAUAUUGUUUUAAGGAACAGAUUGAUUGGUUAUUUGGCAAGGCAAUGAGGUGUUCUGUGCAAAAAGAAUUGAUGGCUUAUAUAGUCCCUCUGUUUUCUGAUUUUUCUUGUUCUGGUCCCUUUAGAUAAUUGUUUUGCACAGAAUGCCUUUUAUUGCAGCCAUGACUUCUCAUGUUCUUUACCUAUGAUCGUAUGGUAAAAAGGGAAUCCUAGCCUCACCGUGUUCCUUUUAUUGAAAUGCGUUGGAAAUUAAGGAUAUGGUCAAGGUUUCUUUACUGUUAUUGUUUUGUCAUGAUCUUCCUCUCUUUUUUUCCUAUAAAAUGAAAGGUACUGCACUGAGGCUAAGAUGAUAUUUUUCAUGGAAAAUUCUCGUACAUAUUGUUUUAAGGAACAGAUUGAUUGGUUAUUUGGCAAGGCAAUGAGGUGUUCUGUGCAAAAAGAAUUGAUGGCUUAUAUAGUCCCUCUGUUUUCUGAUUUUUCUUGUUCUGGUCCCUUUAGAUAAUUGUUUUGCACAGAAUGCCUUUUAUUGCAGCCAUGACUUCUCAUGUUCUUUACCUAUGAUCGUAUGGUAAAAAGGGAAUCCUAGCCUCACCGUGUUCUUUUUAUUGAAAUGCGUUGGAAAUUAAGGAUAUGGUCACGGUUUCUUUACUGUUAUUGUUUUGUCAUGAUCUUCCUCUCUUUUUUUCCUAUAAAACGAAAGGUACUGCACUGAGGCUAAGAUGAUAUUUUUGAUGGAAAAUUUUCGUACAUAUUGUUUUAAGGAACAAAUUGAUUGGUUAUUUGGCAAGGCAAUGAGGUGUUCUGUGCAAAAAGAAUUGAUGGCGUAUAUAGUCCCUCUGUUUUCUGAUUUUUCUUGUUCUGGUCCCUUUAGAUGAUUGUUUUGCACAGAAUGCCUUUUAUUGCAGCCAUGACUUCUCAUGUUCUUUACCUAUGAUCGUAUGGUAAAAAGGGAAUCCUAGCCUCACCGUGUUCCUUUUAUUGAAAUGCGUUGGAAAUUAAGGAUAUGGUCAAGGUUUCUUUACUGUUAUUGUUUUGUCAUGAUCUUCCUCUCUUUUUUUCCUAUAAAAUGAAAGGUAGUUCAUGGAGGCUAAGAUGAUAUUUUUGAUGGAAAAUUCCGUACAUAUUGUUUUAAGGAACAGAUUGAUUGGUUAUUUGGCAAGGCAAUGAGGUGUUCUGUGCAAAAAGAAUUGAUGGCGUAUAUAGUCCCUCUGUUUUCUGAUUUUUCUUGUUCUGGUCCCUUUAGAUAAUUGUUUUGCACAGAAUGCCUUUUAUUGCAGCCAUGACUUCUCAUGUUCUUUACCUAUGAUCGUGUGGUAAAAAGGGAAUCCUAGCCUCACCGUGUUCCUUUUAUUGAAAUGCGUUGGAAAUUAAGGAUAUGGUCAAGUUUUCUUUACUGUUAAUGUUUUGUCAUGAUCUUCCUCUCUUUUUUUCCUAUAAAAUGAAAGGUAAUGCUCUGAGGCUAAGAUGAUAUUUUUGAUGGAAAAUUCCGUACAUAUUGUUUUAAGGAACAGAUUGAUUGGUUAUUUGGCAAGGCAAUGAGGUGUUCUGUGCAAAAAGAAUUGAUGGCGUAUAUAGUCCCUCUGUUUUCUGAUUUUUCUUGUUCUUGUCCCUUUAGAUAAUUGUUUUGCACAGAAUGCCAUUUAUUGCAGCCAUGACUUCUCAUGUU